GUGAGGAAUUUUCCGCAAUGGGCGAAAGCCUGACGGAGCAAUGCCGCGUGAAGGAUGAAGGCCUAUGGGUUGUAAACUUCUUUUCUCAGAAAAGAAUUAUGACGGUAUCUGAGGAAUAAGCAUCGGCUAACUCUGUGCCAGCAGCCGCGGUAAGACAGAGGAUGCAAGCGUUAUCCGGAAUGAUUGGGCGUAAAGCGUCUGUAGGUUGUUUAAAAAGUAUUCUGUCAAAGAUUAGGGCUUAACCCUAGAUAGGAAGAAUAAACUUUUAAGCUAGAGUUUGGUAGAGGCAGAGGGAAUUCCCGGUGGAGCGGUGAAAUGCGUAGAUAUCGGGAGGAACACCAAAGGCGAAGGCACUCUGCUGGGCCAAUACUAACACUGAGAGACGAAAGCGAGGGGAGCAAAUGGGAUUAGAAACCCCGGUAGUCC
rnacentral:rRNA from 1 species